AACGAACGCUGGCGGCAUGCCUAACACAUGCAAGUCGAACGAACCCUUCGGGGUUAGUGGCGCACGGGUGCGUAACGCGUGGGAAUCUGCCCUUUGCUUCGGAAUAACAGUUAGAAAUGACUGCUAAUACCGGAUGAUGUCUUCGGACCAAAGAUUUAUCGGCAAGGGAUGCGCCCGCGUAGGAUUCGGUAGUUGGUGGGGUAAAGGCCUACCAAGCCGACGAUCCUUAGCUGGUCUGAGAGGAUGAUCAGCCACACUGGGGCUGAGACACGGCCCAGACUCCUACGGGAGGCAGCAGUGGGGAAUAUUGGACAAUGGGCGCAAGCCUGAUCCAGCAAGGCCGCGUGAGUGAUGAAGGCCUUCGGGUCGUAAAGCUCUUUUACCAGGGAUGAUAAUGACGGUAUCCGGAGAAGAAGCCCCGGCUAACUUCGUGCCAGCCGCCGCAGUAACAC
rnacentral:rRNA from 1 species